rnacentral:piRNA from 1 species
UAAAUAAAUGUGAAAAAAGUUACUGUUUGC